AACGAACGCUGGCGGCGUGCUUAACACAUGCAAGUCGAACGGAUCAAGGGGCUUGCUCCUUGAUUAGUGGCGCACGGGUGAGUAACGCGUGGAUAAUCUGCCCGAUGAUCUGGGAUAACAUCUCGAAAGGGGUGCUAAUACCGGAUAAGCCCACGGGAUCUUCGGAUCUUGCGGGAAAAGAGGGGGACCUUCGGGCCUCUUGUCAUCGGAUGAGUCCGCGUACCAUUAGCUAGUUGGCGGGGUAAAGGCCCACCAAGGCGACGAUGGUUAGCUGGUCUGAGAGGAUGAUCAGCCACACUGGAACUGAGACACGGUCCAGACUCCUACGGGAGGCAGCAGUGGGGAAUUUUGCGCAAUGGGGGAAACCCUGACGCAGCAACGCCGCGUGAGUGAUGAAGGCCUUCGGGUCGUAAAGCUCUGUCUAGAGGAAAGAAGUGUGAGGUGGCUAAUAUCCACUUUACUUGACGGUACCUCUGAAGGAAGCACCGGCUAACUCCGUGCCAGCAGCCGCGGUAAUACGGAGGGUGCGAGCGUUGUUCGGAUUUAUUGGGCGUAAAGCGCGUGUAGGCGGUUUCUUAAGUCUGAUGUGAAAGCCCCGGGCUCAACCUGGGAAGUGCAUUGGAUACUGGGAGACUUGAAUACGGGAGAGGGUAGUGGAAUUCCUAGUGUAGGAGUGAAAUCCGUAGAUAUUAGGAGGAACACCGGUGGCGAAGGCGGCUACCUGGACCGAUAUUGACGCUGAGACGCGAAAGCGUGGGUAGCAAACAGGAUUAGAUACCCUGGUAGUCCACGCCGUAAACGAUGAGUACUAGGUGUUGCGGGUAUUGACCCCUGCAGUGCCGCAGCUAACGCAUUAAGUACUCCGCCUGGGAAGUACGGUCGCAAGACUA
rnacentral:rRNA from 1 species